rnacentral:rRNA from 1 species
UGCCAGCCGCCGCGGUAAUACGGAGGGUGCAAGCGUUAAUCGGAAUUACUGGGCGUAAAGCGCGCGUAGGCGGUCUUGUCAGUCAGGUGUGAAAGCCCGGGGCUCAACCCCGGACGUGCAUUUGAAACAGCAAGACUUGAGUACGGGAGAGGAGAGAGGAAUUCCUGGUGUAGAGGUGAAAUUCGUAGAUAUCAGGAGGAACGCCGAUGGCGAAGGCAUCUCUCUGGACCGAUAUUGACGCUGAGGUGCGAAAGCGUGGGGAGCAAACAGGAUUAGAUA